rnacentral:rRNA from 1 species
GUAGGUGGCAAGCGUUGUCCGGAAUUAUUGGGCGUAAAGCGCGCGCAGGCGGUCCUUUAAGUCUGAUGUGAAAGCCCACGGCUCAACCGUGGAGGGUCAUUGGAAACUGGGGGACUUGAGUACAGAAGAGGAAAGCGGAAUUCCAAGUGUAGCGGUGAAAUGCGUAGAGAUUUGGAGGAACACCAGUGGCGAAGGCGGCUUUCUGGUCUGUAACUGACGCUGAGGCGCGAAAGCGUGGGGAGCAAACAGGAUUAGAUACCCUGGUAGUCCACGCCGUAAACGGUGAGUGCUAAGUGUUAGGGGGUUUCCGCCCCUUAGUGCUGCAGCUAACGCAUUAAGCACUCCGCCUGGGGAGUACGGCCGCAAGGCUG